CAUGCAAGUCGAGCGAACGGACGAGAAGCUUGCUUCUCUGAUGUUAGCGGCGGACGGGUGAGUAACACGUGGAUAACCUACCUAUAAGACUGGGAUAACUUCGGGAAACCGGAGCUAAUACCGGAUAAUAUUUUGAACCGCAUGGUUCAAAAGUGAAAGACGGUCUUGCUGUCACUUAUAGAUGGAUCCGCGCUGCAUUAGCUAGUUGGUAAGGUAACGGCUUACCAAGGCAACGAUGCAUAGCCGACCUGAGAGGGUGAUCGGCCACACUGGAACUGAGACACGGUCCAGACUCCUACGGGAGGCAGCAGUAGGGAAUCUUCCGCAAUGGGCGAAAGCCUGACGGAGCAACGCCGCGUGAGUGAUGAAGGUCUUCGGAUCGUAAAACUCUGUUAUUAGGGAAGAACAUAUGUGUAAGUAACUGUGCACAUCUUGACGGUACCUAAUCAGAAAGCCACGGCUAACUACGUGCCAGCAGCCGCGGUAAUACGUAGGUGGCAAGCGUUAUCCGGAAUUAUUGGGCGUAAAGCGCGCGUAGGCGGUUUUUUAAGUCUGAUGUGAAAGCCCACGGCUCAACCGUGGAGGGUCAUUGGAAACUGGAAAACUUGAGUGCAGAAGAGGAAAGUGGAAUUCCAUGUGUAGCGGUGAAAUGCGCAGAGAUAUGGAGGAACACCAGUGGCGAAGGCGACUUUCUGGUCUGUAACUGACGCUGAUGUGCGAAAGCGUGGGGAUCAAACAGGAUUAGAUACCCUGGUAGUCCACGCCGUAAACGAUGAGUGCUAAGUGUUAGGGGGUUUCCGCCCCUUAGUGCUGCAGCUAACGCAUUAAGCACUCCGCCUGGGGAGUACGACCGCAAGGUUGAAACUCAAAGGAAUUGACGGGGACCCGCACAAGCGGUGGAGCAUGUGGUUUAAUUCGAAGCAACGCGAAGAACCUUACCAAAUCUUGACAUCCUUUGACAACUCUAGAGAUAGAGCCUUCCCCUUCGGGGGACAAAGUGACAGGUGGUGCAUGGUUGUCGUCAGCUCGUGUCGUGAGAUGUUGGGUUAAGUCCCGCAACGAGCGCAACCCUUAAGCUUAGUUGCCAUCAUUAAGUUGGGCACUCUAAGUUGACUGCCGGUGACAAACCGGAGGAAGGUGGGGAUGACGUCAAAUCAUCAUGCCCCUUAUGAUUUGGGCUACACACGUGCUACAAUGGACAAUACAAAGGGCAGCGAAACCGCGAGGUCAAGCAAAUCCCAUAAAGUUGUUCUCAGUUCGGAUUGUAGUCUGCAACUCGACUACAUGAAGCUGGAAUCGCUAGUAAUCGUAGAUCAGCAUGCUACGGUGAAUACGUUCCCGGGUCUUGUACACACCGCCCGUCACACCACGAGAGUUUGUAACACCCGAAGCCGGUGGAGUAACCUUUUAGGAGCUAGCCGUCGAAGGUGGGACAAAUGAUUGGGGUGAAGUCUA
rnacentral:rRNA from 1 species